rnacentral:rRNA from 1 species
AACGAACGCUGGCGGCAUGCCUAACACAUGCAAGUCGAACGAGACCUUCGGGUCUAGUGGCGCACGGGUGCGUAACGCGUGGGAACCUGCCCUUAGGUUCGGAAUAACUCCCCGAAAGGGGUGCUAAUACCGGAUAAUGUCUUCCGACCAAAGAUUUAUCGCCUUUGGAUGGGCCCGCGUUGGAUUAGCUAGUUGGUAGGGUAAAAGCCUACCAAGGCGACGAUCCAUAGCUGGUUUGAGAGGCUGAUCAGCCACACUGGGACUGAGACACGGCCCAGACUCUUACGGGAGGCAGCAGUGGGGAAUAUUGGACAAUGGGCGAAAGCCUGAUCCAGCAAUGCCGCGUGAGUGAUGAAGGCCUUAGGGUUGUAAAGCUCUUUUACCCGGGAUGAUAAUGACAGUACCGGGAGAAUAAGCUCCGGCUAACUCCGUG